AUUGAACGCUGGCGGCAGGCCUAACACAUGCAAGUCGAACGAGUGGCGGACGGGUGAGUAAUGUCUGGGAAACUGCCUGAUGGAGGGGGAUAACUACUGGAAACGGUAGCUAAUACCGCAUACCAUCGGAUGUGCCCAGUUGGGAUGAGCUACUAGGUGGGGUAAAGGCUCACCAAGGCGACGCUCCCUAGCUGGUCUGAGAGGAUGACCAGCCACACGGGAACUGGGACACGGCCCAGCUUCCUACGGGAGGCAGCAGUGGGGAAUAUUGCACAAUGGGCGCAAGCCUGACGCAGCCAUGCCGCGUGUAUGAAGAAGGCCUCCGGGUGGUAAAGUACUUUCAGCGGGGAGGCGUUACCCGCAGAAGAAGCACCGGCUAACUCCGUGCCAGCAGCCGCGGUAAUUC
rnacentral:rRNA from 1 species